rnacentral:rRNA from 1 species
CUCAGUAACGGCGAGUGAAGCGGGAAGAGCUCAAGCUUAAAAUCUCCAAGCAAGUUCUUGCCUGGCGAAUUGUAGCCUAUGGAAGCGAUGUCAGUGCCGUCGGCAGGACCAAGUUCCUUGGAAUAGGACAGCAAGGAGGGUCAUACUCCCGUCUGUGUCCAGUUGACGUGCUCGUACGACACGCUCUCUUCGAGUCGCGUUGUUUGGGAUUGCAGCGCAAAGCAGGUGGUAAACUCCAUCGAAAGCUAAAUACCGGUAGAGACCGAUAGCGAACAAGUACCGUGAGGGAAAGAUGAAAAGAACUUUGAAAAGAGAGUUAAAAGUACCUGAAACUGCUGAAAGGGAAGCGAAUCGCGUCUACUGUCCCUUCGCGUUCAUCGCGUUUCUCUAGCCACUUUGAGGGUACGAAGCGUUGGUGUCGCGGUGGAGUCAGAGUCAGUUCCGAUCGUGGUCCUUGCCGGUCACUAGAGCUUAUUGCACGUACUUGCGAGAGGCGUAACUAACCCGGAUGGGGUCGUGGUCGGGAUUGAGGUGUCUACAACAUGCAAUCAAGUCCGGUGCGCGCGUUUCCGCGAGGCGGGGGGAGAGUCAACUCGAACCUAUGUCGACGAGGCUGCGCGCGUGGUGGAUAACUUGCGCUGUUCGGGACUCUGGCAAAAUGGAGCGAUUCGACCCGUCUUGAAACACGGACCAAGGAGUCUAACAUGUGUGCGAGUGUUUGGGUGGCAAACCCCGACGCGGAAU